rnacentral:lncRNA from 1 species
CUGAGAGACAGCUUCACUCAGAUUUUCUCACUGACCCUCACUGAGAAGAGGAGUCAAGUGGGAUCAUGGAAGAAAGGAGCACAGGGAGUUUUCAGAGGCCAGGCAAGGUGGGACAUAAAGGCUUCAAGACACCUGUGAUCACAGAUCUGACAUUCAGAGCAAUACCCUGAAGAUGUGCCUCUUCAUCACCUUCCCAGUCUCUGAGCUCAAGUUGGGGAUCCUUGUGCCACCCUGAAUCAGCACCGGCUUCCCUGGGCCACACCAGCUGAGCCAGUACAACUGCUCUGCCAGCAUUGGCAUUGGGACUGGAGAGGGCAUUUUGGGUCCGCUGGGCUCUGCACAGUGGUGGAGGCUGGCAUGGGAAGGACCUUGAGUGCUUGCUCUGCCAGGUGAGACGUGGAUAAAGGACACCCAGGUCUGCCACACUUCCUGCUCUUGGUGAUUGAAUGUGAAUAUUUAGCUGCCACAGUGGGUAGGAGGGUGUAAUUUUCUUAUUUUUAGAUGUUUAGAGACAGAACUGAUGAUAAGGCUUUGACAGAAAAUGACUGACAUGUGGAUUUUGAUGCUCCUGAUGUGUUUUUCGUUUAAGUUCAACAGUUAUUAUAAAAUAUUUUAAUUAAUCUCAUAUUUGCAAACUGGUUAAAAACAUAAAUCAAAAUAAAUAAAAUAAAUCAA